AUUGAACGCUGGCGGCAUGCUUUACACAUGCAAGUCGAACGGUAACAGGGUGCUUGCACCGCUGACGAGUGGCGAACGGGUGAGUAAUGCGUCGGAACGUGCCGAGUAGUGGGGGAUAACGCAGCGAAAGUUGUGCUAAUACCGCAUACGUACUGAGGUAGAAAGUGGGGGACCUUCGGGCCUCGCGCUAUUCGAGCGGCCGACGUCUGAUUAGCUAGUAGGUGAGGUAAAGGCUCACCUAGGCGACGAUCAGUAGCGGGUCUGAGAGGAUGGUCCGCAACACUGGGACUGGGACCAGGACCAGGCUCCUACGGGAGGCAGCAGUGGGGAAUUUUGGACAAUGGGCGCAAGCCUGAGCCAGCCAUGCCGCGUGACUGAAGAAGGCCUUCGGGUUGUAAAGGACUUUUGUCGGGGAGGAAAUCCCUAGCGUUAAUACCGCUGGGGGAUGACAGUACCUGAAGAAUAAGCACCGGCUAACUACGUGCCAGCCGCCGCCGUAACAC
rnacentral:rRNA from 1 species